UCCGCAUUGUAAUUUGCAGAGGAUGCUUUGGGUGCGGCCCCCGUCUAAGUGCCCUGGAACGGGCCGUCAGAGAGGGUGAGAAUCCCGUCUUGGGCGGGGUGUCCGUGCCCGUGUAAAGCUCCUUCGACGAGUCGAGUUGUUUGGGAAUGCAGCUCUAAAUGGGUGGUAAAUUUCAUCUAAAGCUAAAUACUGGCCGGAGACCGAUAGCGCACAAGUAGAGUGAUCGAAAGAUGAAAAGCACUUUGAAAAGAGAGUUAAACAGCACGUGAAAUUGUUGAAAGGGAAGCGCUUGCGACCAGACUCGCCCGCGGGGUUCAGCCGGCAUUCGUGCCGGUGUACUUCCCCGUGGGCGGGCCAGCGUCGGUUUGGGCGGCCGGUCAAAGGCCCCUGGAAUGUAGUGCCCUCCGGGGCACCUUAUAGCCNGGGGUGCAAUGCGGCCAGCCUGGACCGAGGAACGCGCUUCGGCACGGACGCUGGCAUAAUGGUCGUAAAC
rnacentral:rRNA from 1 species